rnacentral:rRNA from 1 species
GACGAACGCUGGCGGCGUGCUUAACGCAUGCAAGUCGAACGAGAGCGUAGAGAAAGCUUGCUUUUUCUACAAUCUAGUGGCAAACGGGUGAGUAACGCGUAAACAACCUGCCCUACGGAUGGGGACAACAGCUGGAAACGGCUGCUAAUACCGAAUACGUUCCGAAAGUCGCAUGACUAUCGGAAGAAAGGAUGGCCUCUAUUUAUAAGCUAUCGCCGGAGGAGGGGUUUGCGUCUGAUUAGCUAGUUGGAGGGGUAACGGCCCACCAAGGCGACGAUCAGUAGCCGGUCUGAGAGGAUGAACGGCCACAUUGGAACUGAGACACGGUCCAGACUCCUACGGGAGGCAGCAGUGGGGAAUCUUCCGCAAUGGGCGAAAGCCUGACGGAGCAACGCCGCGUGAGUGAAGACGGCCUUCGGGUUGUAAAGCUCUGUUAUACGGGACGAAUAAUCUUGUGGUUAAUACCCAUGAGAAGUGACGGUACCGUAAGAGAAAGCCACGGCUAACUACGUG